rnacentral:rRNA from 1 species
UACAGAGGGGGCAAGCGUUGUUCGGAAUUACUGGGCGUAAAGGGCGCGUAGGCGGCCUGCUAAGUCGAACGUGAAAUCCCUGGGCUCAACCCAGGAACUGCGUCCGAUACUGGUUGGCUUGAAUCCGGGAGAGGGAUGUGGAAUUCCAGGUGUAGCGGUGAAAUGCGUAGAUAUCUGGAGGAACACCGGUGGCGAAGGCGACAUCCUGGGACGGUACUGACGCUGAGACGCGAAAGCGUGGGGAGCGAACAGG